rnacentral:rRNA from 1 species
GAUGAACGCUGGCGGCGUGCCUAAUACAUGCAAGUCGAGCGAACAGACGAGGAGCUUGCUCCUCUGACGUUAGCGGCGGACGGGUGAGUAACACGUGGAUAACCUACCUAUAAGACUGGGAUAACUUCGGGAAACCGGAGCUAAUACCGGAUAACAUGUUGAACCGCAUGGCUCAACAGUGAAAGACGGUUUUGCUGUCACUUAUAGAUGGAUCCGCGUCGCAUUAGCUAGUUGGUAAGGUAACGGCUUACCAAGGCAACGAUGCGUAGCCGACCUGAGAGGGUGAUCGGCCACACUGGAACUGAGACACGGUCCAGACUCCUACGGGAGGCAGCAGUAGGGAAUCUUCCGCAAUGGGCGAAAGCCUGACGGAGCAACGCCGCGUGAGUGAAGAAGGUCUUCGGAUCGUAAAACUCUGUUAUUAGGGAAGAACAAAUGUGUAAGUAACUAUGCACGUCUUGACGGUACCUAAUCAGAAAGCCACGGCUAACUACGUG